rnacentral:rRNA from 1 species
UCCCGUAUGUGGCCGAGGCCCGCGCCUAUGUAAAGCUCUUUCAACGAGUCGAGUUGUUUGGGAAUGCAGCUCAAAAUGGGUGGUAAAUUUCAUCUAAAGCUAAAUAUGGGCCAGAGACCGAUAGCGCACAAGUAGAGUGAUCGAAAGAUGAAAAGCACUUUGGAAAGAGAGUUAAACAGUACGUGAAAUUGUUGAAAGGGAAGCGCUUGCACCCAGACUUGGGCGCUGCCGAUCACCUUGAGGUCUCCUCGAGUGCACUCGACAGCGCACAGGCCAGCAUCGGUUCGGGUGGCUGGAUAAAGGCCGUAGGAACGUAGCUCUCUUCGGGGAGUGUUAUAGCCUACGGUGCCAUGCAGCCCAGCCGGACCGAGGACCGCGCCUUCGGGCUAGGAUGCUGGCGUAAUGGGUG